CUACGGGCGGCUGCAGUGAGGAAUAUUGCACAAUGGGGGGAACCCUGAUGCAGCAACGCCGCGUGGAGGAUGACGCAUUUCGGUGUGUAAACUCCUUUUAUAUGUCAAGAAAAUGACGGUAGCAUAUGAAUAAGCACCGGCUAACUCCGUGCCAGCAGCCGCGGUAAUACGGAGGGUGCAAGCGUUACUCGGAAUCACUGGGCGUAAAGGACGCGUAGGCGGGUUGGAAAGUCAGGUGUGAAAUCCUACAGCUUAACUGUAGAACUGCACUUGAAACUUCUAAUCUAGAGUAUGGGGAGGGGGGUGGAAUUAGUGGUGUAGGGGUAAAAUCCGUAGAUAUCACUAGGAAUACCUAAAGCGAAGGCGAUCUCCUGGAACAUUACUGACGCUAAGGCGUGAAAGCGUGGGGAGCAAACAGGAUUAGAUACCCGCGUAGUC
rnacentral:rRNA from 1 species